UGCUGAGAGGAAACAGUUUUGAAUGUCCCGCCCCUCUGAUUAAAGCACAAUAUCAGACUGUCUGUUAGUCAGGACUGUCAAACCAACAUCACUGUUCCUUCAGUUCUCACUCAUUCACAGUAAAGAUGACAGCACACGCUCUCAUUAUCUGCUCUCUACUGCUUUUCAUUGCUGAGUGUAAUGGACAGUACACGGUCACUCAGAGUCCCUCAAUAACAGCUCAACCAGGACAACAAGUUCAAAUAAACUGUAAAACCAGCAGUGGAGUGUAUAAUGGUAAUUAUUUAGCCUGGUACUUACAGAAACCUGGAGAAGCUCCUAAACUCCUCAUAUAUGCUGCAACAAACCGCAACACUGGAACUCCAUCUAGAUUCAGUGGCAGUGGAUCUAAUAGUGAUUUCACUCUGACCAUCAGUGGAGUCCAGACUGAAGAUGAAGGACAUUAUUACUGUCAGAGUUUACACAUCAGUAGUAGUUAUGUGUUCACACAGUGAUAAAGAGUCGUACAAAAACCUCCUUCAGUGAAAGAGGAACUACUGAUACAGAAACAGUUUCUCUGA